UACGUAGGGUGCAAGCGUUGUCCGGAAUUAUUGGGCGUAAAGAGCUCGUAGGCGGUUUGUCGCGUCGAUCGUGAAAACUUGGGGCUUAACCCUGAGCUUGCGGUCGAUACGGGCAUGACUGGAGUUCGGCAGGGGAGACUGGAAUUCCUGGUGUAGCGGUGAAAUGCGCAGAUAUCAGGAGGAACACCGGUGGCGAAGGCGGGUCUCUGGGCCGAUACUGACGCUGAGGAGCGAAAGCGUGGGGAGCGAACAGG
rnacentral:rRNA from 1 species